AACGAACGCUGGCGGCAUGCCUAACACAUGCAAGUCGAACGAGACCUUCGGGUCUAGUGGCGCACGGGUGCGUAACGCGUGGGAACCUUCCCUUAGGUUCGGAAUAACUCCCCGACAGGGGUGCUAAUACCGGAUAAUGUCUUCUGACCAAUGAUUUAUCGCCUUUGGAUGGGCCCGCGUUGGAUUAGCUCGUUGUUAGGGUAAAAGCCUACCAAGGCGACGAUCCAUAGCUGGUCUGAGAGGAAGAUCAGCCACACUGGGACUGAGACACGGCCCAGACUCCUACGGGAGGGAGCAGUGGGGAAUAUUGGAAAAUGGGCGAAAGGAUGAUCCAGCAAUGACGGGUGAGUGAUGAAGGCCUUAGGGUUGUAAAGCGCUUUUACCCGGGAUGAUAAUGACAGUACCGGGAGAAUAAGCGCCGGCUAACUCCGUG
rnacentral:rRNA from 1 species